AAGAGCUCAAGCUUAGAAUCUCCUUGCAGUCUCUGCUCGGCGAAUUGUAGUCUAUUGAGGCGUAGUCAGCGCGCAGGAUCCGGCCAAGUUCCUUGGAAGAGGACAGCAUGGAGGGUUACACUCCCGUCUCUGCCGGCAAAUGCACGCGUACGACACGUCUUCUUUGAGUCGCGUUGUUUGGGAAUGCAGCGCAAAGCAGGUGGUAAAUUCCAUCUAAAGCUAAAUACCUGUGCGAGACCGAUAGCGAACAAGUACCGUGAGGGAAAGAUGAAAAGAACUUUGAAAAGAGAGUUAAAGAGUACCUGAAACUGCUGAAAGGGAAGCGAAUCGCGUCCGCUGUCCACCCACGUUUCAAGAUUGGCGUGGGAGGAGUCAAAGUCAGUUUGGAGUCGAAGGUAAAGUCGACCGUGCGCGUAGCAUGGCUGACUUUCGGGUCUGGCCCUACGAGAAACGUUGUGCGUAGCCUCGAUGACGGACUGAGGCGAUAACAAGCUACCGCGUGCGCUCCGUAAGUUUGUGCGGAGUUCGUAUAGGAUUGGACCCUACCUCCUGGAGAGAUGCACCACUAUAAAUGAGCCGCAUGUACGCG
rnacentral:rRNA from 1 species